rnacentral:miRNA from 14 species
GCCAUUGGCAUCUGGCACUGUGAUCCCUGCAUGGAAACAGUGGCUGUCGGGCCCUCGACCUACAACACCACCUCUGCGGUCACAGUGAAGUCUGCC